UACAGAGGGUGCAAGCGUUGUUCGGAUUGACUGGGCGUAAAGGGCGUGUAGGUGGUUGGGUAAGUCCGUUGUGAAAUCAACAUCGCUUAACGAGUUGUCCGCAUCGGAAACUGCUUAACUUGAGUAUUGGAGAGGAUAACGGAAUUCCUGGUGUAGCGGUGGAAUGUGUAGAGAUCAGGAGGAACACCUGUGGCGAAGGCGGUUAUCUGGCCAAAUACUGACACUGAGGCGCGAAAGCUAGGGGAGCAAACGGG
rnacentral:rRNA from 1 species